GACGAACGCUGGCGGCGUGCUUAACACAUGCAAGUCGAACGAAGAGCGAUGGAAGCUUGCUUCUAUCAAUCUUAGUGGCGCACGGGUGAGUAACGCGUAAUCAACCUGCCCUUCAGAGGGGGACAACAGUUGGAAACGACUGCUAAUACCGCAUACGCUCUAACCUCGGCAUCGAGGAUAGAUGAAAGGUGGCCUCUACAUGUAAGCUAUCACUGAAGGAGGGGAUUGCGUCUGAUUAGCUAGUUGGAGGGGUAACGGCCCACCAAGGCGAUGAUCAGUAGCCGGUCUGAGAGGAUGAACGGCCACAUUGGGACUGAGACACGGCCCAGACUCCUACGGGAGGCAGCAGUGGGGAAUCUUCCGCAAUGGACGAGAGUCUGACGGAGCAACGCCGCGUGAGUGAUGACGGCCUUCGGGUUGUAAAGCUCUGUUAAUCGGGACGAAAGGCCUUCUGGCGAAUAGUUAGAAGGAUUGACGGUACCGGAAUAGAAAGCCACGGCUAACUACGUG
rnacentral:rRNA from 1 species